UUCUUGGUGAUGAGAGACUCUAAAGAAGUCACAGCUUGCUUCCUUUCUGAAGAAUGUCGCGAUUUUGGCUCAUGUGCAGUUCAUGACAACUCUUCUCCAACAGCACGCCAUAGUCCACUGUCUCAGGUUCCCAUUUUUCCACCAGCUGCAGAACAGGAAAGGACAAAUCAAAGUGUGAGCAUUCGGAUCACCAACGCUGUGACCUCGCUGUGUGAAUGGGAGCUGCUACAGGAAGGAAGCUUACAAAUGAGCUGCAUGGAUCCCACAUUUUGCUAAAAUCAAAUAGGACCUUUCUCCUCUUUGUUGAAUGCCAUAAUACACAAGAAAUAAGCCAGCAGGAUGCUCAUGUCCAAGGUCUCCCUUUAUCUACCACCCGAGUUGGCAUGAAACAACUUCUGAACAAUGAUGCAAGUCUUAGCAAAUUUCAAGAACAAUUUAAAGAGGAAAUAAAUAGCUUUUUGUUUAACUUGGAUCAAUUAUCUCCUUUUGCUCCUGGCUUCAUGCCAGGUACUCUCCAUUGUGCCUGGGAAAUAAGAAUCCCCGCCAUCAUGAAAAAACAUUGGCCAUGAGGAUUUUCCCUACAACCCAAGGACUAUUUGAAGUUUGAAGUCUUUCAGCCCAGACAACACUGGCUGUUUUCACCUUUGCCUUCAACUAUAAAGGCUGGGCUCUCUCUGCAGGAGUGGAGAGCCUGUUCACUAGCAUGUCACUGCCUAUCACACCACAAGGCUGAUGAAAUUACUAUUGAAAUAAUCCAUGUAAAAUGCUCAGUGGAGUGCAUGAUACAAGUCAAUUCACUUCAGAAAGUAUCUACUCCUGUGUCCCCAGCAGCUCACUUCAUCCACACCACGAAGCGAACAGAAAGAGACCUAAAGCUUCGUCUAUGUGCUUCUGCCACGCACGUCCAAGAUUGGAAAUGUCCUCUGAAUUCUUCAUAUCUCAGCAAUCCAGACAGUCAUUACCAAUUUGUCAUUGCUUGUAAGCUACAUAAAGGAAAAUAAUAAUAAGCACAACUCAAAGGCUUCUCUUUUAUCAGCCAUAGAAAAAUGUUACAACUUUACAAAGUGACUGUGAAUUUAAGUUAAACCCUCU